rnacentral:lncRNA from 1 species
AUGGCCCUGCUGCAAUGCGAGCAAUGCUCUGUGAGCGCCCACAAGGAAAACUACUACAGCAGAGAAAAAGAAAUGGCUGCAUUUUGCAAAAGAGAGGUAAUGCUCACCAGGUCAGCAUUCACACAGCAAGCUGGGGAGGUUACAGCGAUGCCUCGAGACCUCAGAGUGAAGGAGCUGCAAGGAGCUAUACCAGUGCUGCAGAAGUGCAGGUCCCCAUGCAGCAUCAGACAAGGGGAAAGCACAGGAGGCAGAUGGCUGCUCUGUGCUUACUGCCCACCUUGGAGUUCUCUGGCAAACCAUCUUCUCCCACCUGACUCCAGCUUUGCCUUGGUAGCACCUGCAGGAUCAAGCUCAGGAGCAGAUGGGGAAAAGAAGCAGGGGUGAAAUGUCUUUCUGCUCUGUAUUUCUUCCGUAGAGUCAAGCAUUUCCAUUUGAAAACUAUCAAAGCCAGUAAAAGGGCAGAGGGUAGUCUGUGAAAGAUCUCACCGGGAAAAAACUCAGAGGGGAGCUGCUCUUCAGGAAAGGACUGCAUCCCCCCAGCCCUGCUGUGCUUUCCACAGCCCUCAUCCACCUGCUGAGCCCUUCUGGCUGGCUGGGGCUGGUCCUUGUGCUGGAAAAUCCCUCUCUGAUAACUCUUAGCACCCCAAUCAGAGAGCAGACACCAAGAAAUGAUGCCAACACAGUGCCUCGCACAGAAGUCUGCUUCCAGGUGUGGGCUCAGCACUGGAAGUCAGGUGAAUGAAGUAGCAAUGGGAAGAUGCAGUGGCCACCAUCAGCCACCUACCUUGCAGCACAUUUCAGAGCUGAGCCCUGUCACGGACAGCAGCGUUGGAGGAAUGGGGAUAGUCCUCAUCAAAACUCACAGAUUCCCUUUGGACUUGCAUAACUUCUCCCAGACCUCUGUGAGAGCAGGGCUAGGCCACCAGCCAACAGCUCUGCAGUGUCACAUACCUUAGUUGCCAUGUAAUAAGCAGAAGAUUUGAGGAUCCUAUUUUUGUUUGCAGGAUUGCGUGUGUAGUGUUUUUUUUUUUCUUCCCAGGUUUCUCCCCCUAUUAUGAGUUUCAGUGAUAUAUAGAACCAAAUGGAAAGAUCCUGUCUUCAUUUAUAUCAGAUUUAUAGUUGAGUUAUGGUGUUCCCUUGAUCAUUUACUCUGAAUUUAUUAAUGUUAAGAUAAAAUCAGUCACCAGGGAUCACCAGGCUGGGCAGGCACCAAAAAAGCCCCCAAAAUGCUGCAUGAUGCCGCUUGUGCUGGAGUGACAGCCUGCAGCCCACUGUGCCCUGAGGGUGACACAGCAGCACUGGGACUCGGGGUGUCCCCAUAACAGCACACAUCCAUCCCAGUGAGACCACCCCACUCCUGGGUGCUCUCUGCCUCCUGUUUUGC